rnacentral:rRNA from 1 species
UACGAAGGGGGCUAGCGUUGCUCGGAAUCACUGGGCGUAAAGGGUGCGUAGGCGGGUCUUUUAAGUCAGGGGUGAAAUCCUGGAGCUCAACUCCAGAACUGCCUUUGAUACUGAAGAUCUUGAGUUCGGGAGAGGUGAGUGGAACUGCGAGUGUAGAGGUGAAAUUCGUAGAUAUUCGCAAGAACACCAGUGGCGAAGGCGGCUCACUGGCCCGAUACUGACGCUGAGGCACGAAAGC